UACGUAGGGUGCAAGCGUUGUCCGGAAUUAUUGGGCGUAAAGCGCUUGUAGGCGGCUUGUUAAGUCGCGUGUGAAAUCUCCCGGCUCAACCGGGAAAGUGCGCGCGAAACUGGCGAGCUUGAGUGCUGGAGAGGGUGGCGGAAUUCCCGGUGUAGAGGUGAAAUUCGUAGAUAUCGGGAGGAACACCAGAGGCGAAGGCGGCCACCUGGACAGACACUGACGCUGAGAAGCGAAAGCGUGGGGAGCAAACAGG
rnacentral:rRNA from 1 species